CGGGGCGUAGCGCAGUCCGGUAGCGCACAUGACUGGGGGUCAUGUGGUCGCUGGUUCAAAUCCAGUCGCCCCGACAA
rnacentral:tRNA from 1 species